rnacentral:rRNA from 1 species
GACGAACGCUGGCGGCGUGCUUAACACAUGCAAGUCGAACGGUGAUGCUCCAGCUUGCUGGAGUGGAUCAUUGGCGAACGGGUGAGUAACACGUGAGCAACCUGCCCCAGACUCUGGAAUAAGCGCUGGAAACGGCGUCUAAUACUGGAUACGAAACUGUCACGCAUGGGCAUGGAUUGUGAAGUUGUUCGGUUUUGGCUGGGCUGGCUGCCUAUCAGCUUGUUGGUGAGGUAAUGGCUCACCAAGGCUACGACGGGUAGCCGGCCUGAGAGGGCGACCGGGCACCAGGGGACUGAGGGAGGGACCAGACGCGUACGGGAGGCAGCGGGGGGGAGUAUUGCGCAAUGGGCGAGAGCCUGAGGCAGCGACGCUGCGUGAGGGAUGACGGCUUUCGGGUUGUGAACCUCUUUCAGCAGAGAAGAAGCGAAAGUGACGGUACCUGAAGAAGAAGCACCGGCUAACUACGUG